GGGGGGGGCAAGCGUUGUUCGGAAUUACUGGGCGUAAAGGGCUCGUAGGUGGCCAACUAAGUCAGACGUGAAAUCCCUCGGCUUAACCGGGGAACUGCGUCUGAUACUGGAUGGCUUGAGUUCGGGAGAGGGAUGCGGAAUUCCAGGUGUAGCGGUGAAAUGCGUAGAUAUCUGGAGGAACACCGGUGGCGAAGGCGGCAUCCUGGACCGACACUGACACUGAGGAGCGAAAGCCAGGGGAGCAAACGGGAUUAGAUACCCCGGUAGUCCUGGCCCUAAACGAUGAAUGCUUGGUGUGGCGGGUAUCGAUCCCUGCCGUGCCGAAGCUAACGCAUUAAGCAUUCCGCCUGGGGAGUACGGUCGCAAGGCUG
rnacentral:rRNA from 1 species